GAUGAACGCUAGCGGCAGGCUUAAUACAUGCAAGUCGAGGGGUAGCAAGAUUGUAGCAAUACAAUUGUUGACGACCGGCAAACGGGUGCGGAACACGUACACAACCUUCCUACAAGUGGGGAAUAGCCCAGAGAAAUUUGGAUUAAUACCCCGUAACAUAGCGAUGUGGCAUCACAUUGCUAUUAUAGCUUCGGCGCUUGUUGAUGGGUGUGCGGCUGAUUAGAUAGUUGGCGGGGUAACGGCCCACCAAGUCUACGAUCAGUAGCUGAUGUGAGGGCAUGAUCAGCCACACGGGCAAUGAGACACGGGCCCGACUCCUACGGGAGGCAGCAGUAAGGAAUAUUGGACAAUGGACGCAAGUCUGAUCCAGCCAUGCCGCGUGAAGGAUUAAGGUCCUCUGGAUUGUAAACUUCUUUUAUAAGGAACGAAAAAAGGUCUUUCUAGAUCGUCUGACGGUACCUUAUGAAUAAGCACCGGCUAACUCCGUGCCAGCAGCCGCCGUAACAC
rnacentral:rRNA from 1 species